rnacentral:rRNA from 1 species
GACGAACGCUGGCGGCGUGCCUAAUACAUGCAAGUAGAACGCAGUUGCGAACGGGUGAGUAACGCGUAGGUAACCUGCCUCAUAGCGGGGGAUAACUAUUGGACACGAUAGCUAAUACCGCAUACUGUGAGAUGGACCUGCGUUGUAUUAGCUAGUGGGUGAGGUAAAGGCUCACAAAGGCGACGAUACCUAGCCGACCUGAGAGGGGGAUCGGCCACACGGGGACUGAUACACGGCCCAGACGCCUACGGGAGGCAGCAGUGGGGAAUAUUGCACAAUGGGCGCAAGCCGGAUGCAGCCAUGCCGCGUGUAUGAAGAAGGCCUUCGGGUUGUAAAGUACUUUCAGCGGGGAGGCGUUACCCGCAGAAGAAGCACCGGCUAACUCCGUGCCAGCAGCCGCGGUAAAC